rnacentral:rRNA from 1 species
CCUUACUGCUAUCGGGGUGGGGCUAAGCCAUGCAAGUUGCGCGCUUCUAAGCUAUGGUAGAGGAGCAGCGUAAGGCUCAGUAAAACAUGGUUAAUUUGCCCUCGAGACGGGGAUACUCCCGGGAAACUGGGGUUAAACCCCGAUAGAUGAGGUGGCCUGGAAUGGUAUCUCAUUUAAAAAGCGUCAAGACCAUGCUUCUUGGCGUUGCUCGAGGAUAGGACCAUGUCCGAUCAGGCUGUUGGCGAGGUAACGGCUCACCAAACCUAUAACCGGUACGGGCCGUGAGAGCGGGAGCCCGGAGAUGGAUCCUGAGACAAGGAUCCAGGUCCUACGGGGCGCAGCAGGCGCGAAAACUCCGCAAUGCGCGAAAGCGUGACGGGGUCACCCCGAGUGCACCUGCUGAAGGUAACUUUUCCUCAGUCUAAUCAGCUGGGGGUAAAAGGAGAGGGCAAGUCUGGUGUCAGCCGCCGCGGUAAUACCAGCUCCCCGAGUGGUGAGGACGAUAUUGGGCCUAAAGCGUCCGUAGCCGGCUUGGUAAGUUUCCCGUUAAAUCCGACGAUUCAAUCGUUGGGCUGCGGGAAAUACUGUUAAGCUAGGAGGCGGGAGAGGCCGGCGGUACUUUUGGGGUAGGGGUGAAAUCCUAUAAUCCCAAGAGGACCACCAGUGGCGAAGGCGGCCGGCCAGAACGCACUCGACGGUGAGGGGCGAAAGCUGGGGGAGCAAACCGGAUUAGAUAACCGGGUAGUCCCAGCUGUAAACUAUGCGGGCUAAGUGUCGGGAUAGCCAUAGAGCUAUUCCGGUGCUGCAGGGAAGCCGUUAAGCCCGCCGCCUGGGGAGUACGGCCGCAAGGUUGAAACUUAAAGGAAUUGGCGGGGGAGCACCACAAGGGGUGAAGCUUGCGGUUCA